CCUACGGGAGACAGCAGUGAGGAAUAUUGGUCAAUGGGCGUAAGCCUGAACCAGCCAAGUCGCGUGAGGGAUGAAGGUUCUAUGGAUCGUAAACCUCUUUUAUAAGGGAAUAAAGUGUGGGACGUGUCCUGUUUUGUAUGUACCUUAUGAAUAAGGAUCGGCUAACUCCGUGCCAGCAGCCGCGGUAAUACGGAGGAUCCGAGCGUUAUCCGGAUUUAUUGGGUUUAAAGGGUGCGUAGGCGGCCUUUUAAGUCAGCUGUGAAAGUCUGUGGCUCAACCAUAGAAUUGCCGUUGAAACUGGGAGGCUUGAGUAUGUUUGAGGCAGGCGGAAGGCGUGGUGUAGCGGUGAAAUGCUUAGAUAUCACGCAGAACCCCGAUUGCGAAGGCAGCCUGCCAAGCCAUGACUGACGCUGAUGCACGAAAGCGUGGGGAUCAAACAGGAUUAGAUACCCCAGUAGUC
rnacentral:rRNA from 1 species